rnacentral:lncRNA from 1 species
CAUCUGGCGGUCCGCUUUUCGCCUGAGGCAUUGUGGGUAAUGCUUAUGGCGGCAGCGUCUUGACAACAGGGAUGUGAUGUCUCAGUUAUUUGACCGAUUAAUUCGUUUAACUGUUAAUAGAGGAUGUGUCAAUAUGCAUUCAUCAAGAACAAUUCAUUACUACUCGGCUUUUCUUAGAUAUGUAGCAUUUCAAGUGGUUUUAAAUUACAUAAAGGAGUUUUGCCGUGCAGUUAGAACCGUGAAAUAAGGAAAGGGUAGUACUUUUUUCGCUGAAGAGAGAUGAGUAAAUGAAACUAACUGAUGGCUUAAGAUGAGUUAGAAGCUCAUACCUUAAUGAAAGGAUCCUUUCGGUGAAGGUAUGAUUGCAUAUUUAGGAAGGAGAAGCCAAGCACAUGCCAAGACCCUGAGAAAGCUCCAUGAAGAUUGCCAUUGUGUGUGUAUCUAUGAACUAUUUUUUAACUAGAAAUUGUUUACAUUUAAAAAUGUAGUAAAAUGCUUGGCAGGUUCAUAAUGGAAAAUUACCAUUUAUUUUUCUGUGGAAAUUUUUAAGUUCUGAAUUGUAAUUAUUUUUGAUCUUGAUCCUCUGCACACAGCUAAAAUAAUAAAACCAUCCAUUUAUGUCAUCAUA